CCUACGGGGGGCAGCAGUGAGGAAUAUUGGUCAAUGGGCGGAAGCCUGAACCAGCCAAGUAGCGUGCGGGAUGAAGGCCCUACGGGUCGUAAACCGCUUUUGCACGGGGAUAACACCCUCCACUUGUGGAGGUCUGCAGGUACCGUGCGAAUAAGGGCCGGCUAAUUCCGUGCCAGCAGCCGCGGUAAUACGGAAGGCCCGAGCGUUAUCCGGAUUCAUUGGGGUUAAAGGGAGCGUAGGCGGGCGUUCAAGUCAGCGGUAAAAUCGCGGGGCUCAACCGCGCCCCGCAGUUGAAACUGGACGUCUUGAGUUCACAAGAGGCAGGCGGAAUGCGUGGUGUAGCGGUGAAAUGCAUAGAUAUCGCGAAGAACCCCGAUUGCGAAGGCAGCCUGCCGGGGUGCGACUGACGCUGAGGCUCGAAGGUGCGGGUAUCGAACAGGAUUAGAUACCCCAGUAGUC
rnacentral:rRNA from 1 species